GCCUUGCUAGCUCAAUCGGUAGAGCGUCAGACUCUUAUCAAGAAUUCUUGGCAUUAUCUGAAGGUUGCGGGCAAGUUUGCACGAAUUUGAGUCGAAAAAUCAAUACUAACCUUCAAUUUCAGGUUCGACCCCCGCGUGAGGCU